ensembl:misc_RNA Y_RNA Y RNA
UGCUGGUCCAAGUGCAGUGGUGUUUACAACUAAUUGAUCACAACUAGUUACAGAUUAUUUGUUCCUUCUCCACUCUCACUGCUUCACUUGACUAGCUUUUA